rnacentral:misc_RNA from 1 species
AGGCUAGGCCGGGGGGUUAGGGGUCCCCUGUAAGCGCAAAUCCCCUAUAUGGCGCGGCCGAAGCCCAGGAGGCGGCAAGACCGCCAGACAUCGGCCUGAGGGUUAAACAAUGAAGCCUCGUCCCACAGGGCCACCGGUGGCGAGGGUCCAGCUG